rnacentral:rRNA from 1 species
UACGUAGGGGGCUAGCGUUGUCCGGAAUCAUUGGGCGUAAAGCGCGCGUAGGCGGUCAGGUAAGUCCGGUGUGAAAGUCAAAGGCUCAACCUUUGAAUGCCGCUGGAUACUGCUUGACUUGAGUCCGGAAGGGGCGAGUGGAAUUCCUGGUGUAGCGGUGAAAUGACGCAGAUAUCAGGAGGAACACCAAUGGCGAAGGCAGCUCGCUGGAACGGUACUGACGCUGAGACGCGAAAGCGUGGGGAGCGAACAGG